CACCGCGGUUAUACGAGAGACCCAAGUUGUUAGACACCGGCGUAAAGAGUGGUUAAGACUUAACUCAAAACUAAAGCCGAACGCCCUCAGAGCUGUUAUACGCACCCGAAGGUAAGAAGCCCAACCACGAAAGUGGCUUUACGCCAUCCGAGUCCACGAAAGCUAUGAUA
rnacentral:rRNA from 1 species